rnacentral:lncRNA from 1 species
GUGGUGGGGGUUCGUUUGGCUUGGCGUCGUCGUCGCGCGCGCUCCGGUGACGGCGGCGGGCCGGCAUGGCCGUGGAGGAAGUCCUCGGUUGGUCGCUGUGCAACUUGACGCCUCAUCAUCUCGGCUCGGCCAAAGGGAGAAUGAAGAUACAAUACAAUACAGGAAGAGCGGCCUCCGGUCGCCGUGGUGUGCGUGUGUGUGUGGGCUGGAUGCCCUGUUCUCAGCUAGCGCUCUCCUAUCCUAUCAGAUUCAGAGCAGGGUUUUGCUGAUGUUCUACGUUUUGUUACUCGCUAUCACCAGAAAUAAAAAAGUUCCUUGCAGUUUGUUCUAAUUCCUACCAUCGUUGCAACAUUGGAUAUAGUGUCUAAGAACAGGAGAACCUGUAGAAAAUAGACAAGCACAGAAACUGUACUCGAAAUCGUCUGAAAUGCGAACUAGUGCAUUUUCCUUGCGAAAAUCCCUACAAAAAAUCUUGUGGUAGGCGUGCGUGGCCGCACUAAAAGAAAAUGUGCCCCGGUCGGUGCAGAGAACCCGUCCCGUCCGCUCACUGUCUGACGUGUGGUGUGGUCCGGCCCUACGAGUAGGCCUCGUGCCUAUAGGAGCGUUCCAGCACUGCUUCCCCACUAGCACAGAGCCGUGCAAUUUUAUCACACAAGACUCGAGAAAUCCACGAGAUCGCGGAUUGGUAUUGCUUGAGCGCCCGGUGAUCCCCGUUGCACUCCAGCCGACCACCACCGACUCCUGCGGCGCCUAGAAUUUCCCGUGCUCCAGCGAUAGGGCGCGACCGGGGUGAAACUGAAACCAGUGGCAAUACCAUUGGGUCCCCACCGCGGGUGCCCGUGAACCUUAUCGUGGCGCAUGCCUCCCGCACCGACCGACGGCAUGGACGCCGUCGUCUCUGCUAGCCUUUCUUUCUUUCUUUCUUUUAUUUAACGCGGCGGUGAUCGACAGCGACCGGCGGCGCGGGAAGCUCCCGCAGGGCUUGCGGGUCUGUUCGCUUCAGCUUAUAAACCGGCUGAAAAGCUGAAAUGGCUGAUUUGUUGUGAGAAAAAAACACUGUUUGGUAGCUGAUAGGCCGGAUGAACAAGCUGAAGCGAACACGCCGUGCAUAGUUGCAUCCGGCUGGCUCCGUUCUCGGAUCAACUUGGGCUGAGGGCAAUUGACAGUGAACGGGCCUGGCCAUUGAAUAUUUGAAUUGAGCACCAGUGGUAGCUCAAAUUUACCACGCGCAGGUCGGCACACGGAAGGAUCAGGAAGGUAAGGCGACCUGGACCAGUCAUCAGUUCAUCACAUGACGCGCUGCCAAGAUACCCUCCAGGCUCCAGCAAAAGAAAAGCUGUUGGGAAUGGGCCGCCCUGCGUGGGAUCAAUCCCCGAGAAGAUCAGAUAUUAUAACGUGGCACUAAAAAAGAAUAAAGUAGCCGCCGGGAUUGUCUCACAAAAGAAUAAAGUAGCCGUCGAGAUUGGUCUCAAAAAAUAUUAAAGUUUCGGCGUGUUCAGAUCCGACAACCUAUCGAGGCUACCCGAGUUAGGGUUGAGUGCGCGAGACUUGUCAAGAUUAGGAAUUUGAAGGUAAACACAGACAUACGAUUUAGACAAGUUUGGAUCGUUAGAUUGCGUAAUACCCUACUUCUUGUGUGUCGGUUGGAUUGAAUUGCCUUGAAGAGGAUCCCUGCCUCGCCUUAUAUUAUCGGGAGCAGGGUUACAGGUUGGUUGAUUUAUAAGAAUACUAGUCGAAUUCGAUUAGAUAAGGCAUACUCUAAUUAUUACGAGUAGUUUUUCGAAUUCUCGACUAGUUCCUAUCUUACCACGUAAAUCAUACCAUCCUGCAUCAUAGUCUUCACAUCUUGUACCAGUCCUGUACCUAGAACUCUCCAAAUCUCCUGAUGAACUCGUAGAUGUAUAUACGACGGCCGCCGAGGUUCGAAUGCGAACGGUGCAGGUCAUCUGGCUAGUUGGUGUGCAAAUUUUAUUUGAAAUGCUGUAGUCCACCGACGAACAAAUACUUCAGCCCAUUUUUAAGUCAUCUCUUGCUAUUUUAUCCUUCCCGAGAUACCCAUUGCCGACAGCAUCAAUUAGUUGCUAUUUUAUCCUUCCCGAGAUACCCAAUACUGACAGCAUCAAUUAGCGUCCAUAUAGCUUUCAGUAAAAGAGAAGGCUUCUGGGCAAUAAUGAACACAGCUGAAAGGGAGUGUCAAUUUUCUUCAACACAUGCGUAGUGCGAUUUUCUUACUACGCCAUAACCUUUAGUACUGUCUUAAGCCCGCUCAAUAUGUGCAAACAGAUUAUCAUCUGGACCACAGAAAUCUGAAGGAAUGCAAACAUACACAGCCCAUACAGAUACAGAUCACCACACAUGGGCCACAAACUACCCAUUAACACCCACAGUAAGAACCACAAGCAUUGGGCGUGAGCAAGAGCUGCUUCCAAAGCAAAUCUCAAACAGAUCGGAGGGUUCGUCCAAUUUUUUGGGCAAUCAUAUUGCAAUAAGACAACGUCCUCACGACACCUAGAUAUAUCAGACGCAAAACAGAUACACAAUCUGAUCUCACACUGCUGGAACACGGAGGACAAUCCGUCGCUGAUACAUCAACAUGCAGACUCAUAAGAUUAUCGCCUUACCGGCUUCCAGCUUGGCUGCAGACGACUCAGAGAAAAGGGGGACAUACAGGAGAGUAACCGGAUGUAGGCAUGCAAGGGUGAUCGCAUUGGCUGUGCCAAUCACCCAGACUUGAAUAGCAAGACGGCUUUGGAAUCGAUGUAGAAGUAUACAAAGUAGUUUGUCUCAUGCGUUACAUACGAACCUGCAAUAGACGAAAAAUGGUUAGCAAAAGCGUGGGCGUUCAAUAUACAUAUCAUGGACUCAUAAAUGGAAGAGGUUAAUAAGUUCUCACUAUUUUCAGCUUAACUUUUCCAUUCCCAAGCUAUGCAUAUGCCACUAAAGUUCAGCGGUCAACAUAACCACAUACUCCACAACCAAAAGGAGUAACUGGAUGUUUUUAAUGUAGAUUAACAAAUCCAACCAAUUUAUAAUGGAGAAACUCUAGCAGGACUUGGCAUAUGUUCUGUCUCACUGCUAGAAUAACUAUCCCAUGUUACAGAAAUGGUAUUUAGACAUAGUAAACAAGAUGCCGGAUAAAUAUCAAACAAAGGCAGAAGAGGCUAACGCUCUUCUAACUUGCUAAUUGAUCAUUUCUCGAGCUAUGAGAAGUAAUUUAAGAUAAAAUUUCUCCCAUAAUCCUAUCAUAAUAGAGUAAAACAGAAACAUGUAGAAAUUAAGACAGCUCUUCAUUGAGUUUUAUAAUUAGUUUGUGAAGUAGAAUCAGUCAAAAAUAUCUGGAAACUACGACAGCUCAUCACUCAGUCUUAGAAUUAGAGAAACAAUUUAAGAAAAGAUUUCUCCCAUAGUCCUAUCCUAAUAGAGUCAAACAGAAACAUGUAGAAAUUAAGACAGCUCUUCACUGAGUUCCUAUCCUAAUAGAGUCAAACAGAAACAUGUAGAAAUUAAGACAGCUCUUCACUGAGUUUUAUAAUUAGUUUGUGAAGUGGAAUCAGUCAAAAUAUCUGGAAACUACAACAGCUCAUCAUUCAGUCUUAGAGUUAGGUUGAGAUACAAUCAGUGCAAUCAAAUAGAAACAUCUGGGAACUAAGACAGGUCGCCGAAGUGUCUUAGGAUUAGUUUGUGUGACAGAAUCAGUCAGUUGUGAGUGUGUCAUUCUCUCUAACGUUUGUCCUUCUCUUCUUAUUAGUAAAAAGAAAGCUGAAGUGCUGCCCAAGUUUGGAACAACAAAGGGUGACCAAAUUUAAAGGAAAAAAAUAAAAAAGGACUGGAAUUCAGAGACAGCAACAACCAGCCUCUUGUUUCUAUGCCAUCGAUAGAGAAAAACCUUUUUAAUUUUGCUAAUACUUUCAGUGCUAAAAUGUGUGCUCAAUCAAAAGGGACAUUCAGCCAUUGGUCAAAUCUUUCUAGCCUUGUCAGAGUGGCAGAAUUCGUAAGAAUUUGGUGACUUGUUGCAGUACACCAAUUAUCAGAAGCACACUCCAAAAUUUAUUAACAGAUAUUGGCCCAGAACGAAAAAACCAAUAAAAAAUGUGCAGAUUUGAGUUAUGGCUAUUUUAUGAUAAUUGACAAUGCCUGAAAGAAAACCAAAAUAGUGUAUGUCUGACUUGCUUGUAGAGAAUGCAAAGGAAGGAGAGAAAGAAAGCAAUGAUAUGCUUUAUUUGUUAUGCACGAUAUAGAAGUUGCAGUGAUAAGACCUAGCUACUAGGCAUGCUGGAAAAUUUCCAAUAACAAUAUAAUUUGGCAUCUUGAUCGAGAAGAAGCUAGAAUGGGAGAUAAAUCAGGAAAUUAUAAAUGAUCCAAUGCUACACGUAAAGCUAUAUAGCAUGUAGAAGAAUAUGAACACAGUCGAGAAAUUGCUAUAAGAAAAUAUGACCUGAAGUAUAAGAUUAAACAUUUUGUAGAGGAGAGUCGAAAAACGAACAGCUAAAACUUAUGUUUGAUAAGAACAUAGCCACAUAAUUGCAAUAAAAAAACAGAACAAAUGCAGAGUUAAACAGUUGCUGCAAAACACAAAAGCUGUUCAAUCUGGUACUGAAAAUUGUUAGCUUAGAUCCAAUAUCACAAAUUGGUUAGGCCAAUUGCAUUAGAGGUCUCUAAACUUCCUUUAUUGCACUGCUAAUUGCAGGAGUGUUUGUCAAGUGAAUAAGUAAUGUGCCAUGCCAGUUGACACGGAAUAUAAGUGACAUGACAGUAUGACAGUCAGCAUGCCCAGUCAGUUGCAAGUCUACAUAAAAUGCCAUGCCAUUUCUUUGUUACAUCUGAUUAACAGAGUACAGUGACACUAAGUUAAGGAACUGAAAAAUAAAGCAUGUGCUACUAAUUUAUUGAAACAAAAAAUUUAGUUUUAGAUAAGAAAGAGUUGAACAAAAAAUUGAAUAAGUCAAUUAAAAAUGUGUAAAAUUGAAUGAUACUCCCUCCGUUUCAAAAUGUAGGUCAUUUUUGCUUUUCUACAUAUAUAGAUUUUGCUAUGUAUCUAGACAUAACACUAUAUUUAGGUGCAUAACAAAAUCUAUGUAUCUAGAAAAGCCAAAACGACUUACAUUUUGGAACGGAGGGAGUAGCUCGCUAAGUUGGAUUUGGUUGAUAUCAGGAAUAGCCUACCCUGUUGGCUGAGCAAAGCUUAGAGAAUGCUUACAUAAAGUUUUUAGAAUUUAAGCCAAGCCAGAAGCAAGGAGGUAAACUUCAAAUUCGAGAAAUAAGACAUUGUCAUACUUGCACUAUACACACUCCCGGAAACAAUACUUCACCCACUCCAUUACAGGUGCUACAUUCAAUAAAAAAAGAUACAGGUCAUUCAACAUUCCCUUGUCAAAUUUGAAGCAUAAUUUCAGUUGACUGCAAUAACCGUUUCAGCUUCUUCAGUUUUCCUAGUUCAUUUCCUCCUGUGUACAACUUAUUUGUGGGGGUGAGGGUGGGGAAUGAGUUUCCUGUGGCUUCUAUUGACAGCAUAAGCAGUCCUACAAGGUCCAUUCAAUCAAUCACGUGCGGACCUUUAUUGGGCCAGGCACGGACGAAAUCGACCAUGGAAUAACCAACGACGCAAAGCAUACCAGACCAGAUAUCAACAACUGUCCUCAGGACAGGCGCAAUCAUCCCACAUGUUCCGCGCUAAUUAAGGAGUCCUCCCGGACAAGAGGAGAGCAUUACCGAAGUUGCGGCCGACGAUGCAGUGCCAGGUUGGGCCGUGGUUCUUGUCGAACUCCUUCUUGAUGUACUCCGCGAUGUCCUUCUCCAUGGUGUGCUUCUCGAACGCCUGACCGAAAGAGCGAGAGGUUGAAAAAAAAAUCCCCCGAACCCCAACGAACAACUAGUAAUAUGAAAACCAAAUCGAGAGCAGGAAAGAAAGCAAUAGUGAGAGCAGAGGCACGAGGUUCGUACGAUGCGGGCGAUUUCGAAGGCCUCCUGCCGCAUCUCCUCCUUCAUAUCGGCGCUCUUGAGCUGGAUCUUGUGCCCCGCCGCGGCCGGCGGCGGGGACCCCGCGCCCACCGGCUUGCGGUCCUCGGAGGAGGCCCGGAGCGCCGCCUGCGCGGCGCCCCCGGCCCCGCGCCUGGCCUCGUCGGACAUUCUCGAGGGCGGGUGGAGCAGAGCUGCCGGGCACGCUUCUCCUCCCUCUCGAGGAAUCCUCUCCUCGCUUUUUUGGCGAUGGUGGGCGUCUGGGCGAGGACGAGAAGCAGACACCGUGGGCGUGCGCGUGCGCGUUGCAGUGGAAUCUGCCUAGCAGCCGGCGGCCAGAGAGAAGAGAGAAGGUGAAAGUGUUGAAACUGGGAACUUUGGGCUGAGCCAUGGGCCUCCAUAUACAGAACCGGCCCGAAAUAAAGAGUCCAUGAGGUUGGUCCAGUUCCGUUUGCAAUGUGAGUAUUUUGCGAAACCGUUGCAGAAAUUUUAAGUGGAGCAGUUCAGCCCUCGUAGAGUCGAGAGUAAGACAAGAACAGUCAUGAGUUCCAAAUAUGCCUUCUUUAUAAAAAAAAAUUUGUCGUUAACAGUGCGCGUGUGUGUCUCCAGCAACUUCUAAUGUGACCCAAAUGGCCAAAUGUUACGGAGCCCUACGUGUUCUGGAGUUUCAAAGAGACGUAUGAAGACCACGAUGCAAAAAUGAUGUCUGCCUUUUCUCUGUCCGGUCAUCCAGGGUGUCACCUGGAGUUUUCAAGGUGUAUUUGGUUGCAUGCACCACAUGAUAUAUGCAUAGAUGAUUCUACAUGAGUGGUUCAACCAAUUUGCUUGUACCAUAUGGUUCAUUCUAAUUAGUAGAAUAAUGUAACACAGUGUUUUACCAUACAUUUGCAUAUCAACAGUCUCGCAAACCUGCAAACCUUCAAGGGUAUUAUAGUCAUUUCUUACCAAAAUUACAGUAUCACAGCUGUUUCAAUCAAACGGCUUUCAGCUUUUUCACACCUCAUAGCAUCUUUUCCAUAACCCGCAGCUCACAUCAACUUUUUCACAGCUCACAGUUCAACAAAAUAGACCAUAUAUAAGUAUGUUCGUGUGCUUUCAAAUUGCACGGGCAUCCUAAACUUACCCUCAGCUGCAAUUUAGGUCCAUGUGUUUGCAAAUGCUGAUCUAAGUAACUGAAUUUAGCUUAAUUGAUUAUUUUUUCUUAUGAUGGAACCUGCUUACCUGACUUCAAAUGCACUGAGUGCUCAUAUUUUUCUAAAUUUAUUUUAGGAAAUAAUAACUAUGUUUUUUAAUGGUUAGCGAUGUACCCGUCAAUAACGAGGUCCUUAUGUUUCGUCAAUCUCAAAAUCUGUUAGUUCAAUCUCUCUGAGAUAUGGUCAUAGGGAUAGGACGUGUGUGUUUGUAUGGAAAAGUUGACUUCACUUUUUUUUUGCUAGUUUUUUUCCAUGCAACACCUUCACAUCUAGAGACCUCCCAUAAAAGUACAUAUAUAGAAGCCUACAUACAUGCAUGCACAAUUACACAAUAUACACCUUUAGAGGAUCCGCUGAGGCUACUAGGGUCCCGUUUGGCAGAACUCUCAAAACUGAUUCUCCACUAAAUCCAGUAGGAACUCUGCCAAACAGUUUUUUAGAGAGAAGUAAUUCUCUAAUGAUUCUGUGAAGUAAUCCUCUGAAAUGAACUAAGAGGCUGGGAGCUGAAAAAAGUAGUUUCUCCUGAUUUUGUGAAGUAAUUCUCCAUUCUAAUUUUAAGAGUUUAUGCUAGAGAAUUAAAUAGAAUCGUUUUCAACACUUUUCUCAGAGAAUCAGAUGGAGUUCUAACCAAUAUUACGUGCGAAUGGUGGGGACGUUGUUUUUUAUGGAGGGGGUCAUGUUGGAGACAAACUUUGCUCAAAAAAUUGUUUUAGUUCCCAAACUAUCGAAAGGGUCAAUUUAGUCCCUGAAUUGUUGUUUGUAGUUCAAUCUAGUCGUUAGUCUUACAUGGCAUGCCAUGUGAGCUGACCGGUAUGCCCACAUGCAAAAUGUCCAUAUUACCCGUCCUCUUUUUUCUCACCCUCUCGCUUCCAUGCGGAUCCCACCUCUCAGUUAAAAAAAAAAUGGUCCGGUCCUUCGAUCCCUUGUGGUGCAUGUGGCUCCCGGUCCCAUCCCGCCGGCCGGCCAAGCAGGUGGAGCGCAUGAAUUGGCCUGUUCGCUUCAGCUUAUCAGCCGGCUUAUCAGCCACCGAACAAUGUUUUUCUCUCAUAACAAAUCAUCUGUUUCAGCUUUUCAGCCGGCUUAUAAGUCCAGCCGAACAGACCAAUACAGCUCGGCAGGGAAGACCGGCUAGACGAAGAUGCAUCGGCAAAGGAUGUCAUUGGUCUUACGUCUUGCCUUGGCCUUAUAUUUUUGCAUGUGCGAUGCGUAAUUUCUUCAAUUUCUUCAUGAGGCUCGGCGACACAUCCACAUCUCAACCAUUUAUUUGGUUUAUUUUUAUUUUUCCCUCAACCAUUUCAACCCUGACAGGUGGGACCUGCUUGGAAGCGAGAGGAUGAGGAAAAAAGAUGAAGGGUAAUUUGGACAUUUUGCAAGAGGACGUAGCAGUCAGAUGACGUGGCAUGGUAACUUGGUCCCACAUAAGACCGCAGACUAGAUUGAACUAUAAACAACAGUUCAGGGACUAAAUUGGUACUUUUGAUAGUUUGGGGACGAAACCGAUCCUUUGAGCAAAGUUGGGGAACCAAUACAGACUAUUUUUCCAAUUGCUAACGGACGAGUAAAGUGCAUGGCAGCGUUAAGUGUCCGUGUACUUUCAAAUUGCACUGUCCUCCUAAACUUACCAUGGGAUGCGAUUCAAAUCCAUGUACUCCCAAAUGCUGAUCUAGCGUACAGAAUUUAUCUCAAUUGGUUAUUUUUCUUCUGAUGGAACUUGCCUAACCUGCCUAUCCGACUUCAAGUGCUCGACUCGUCAACACAGCUACUCGUAUUUUCCAGAAUUUAUAUCAAGAAUCAAUGACUAUAUUUUUUAAUAGUUUGUGAUGUACCCGUCGAUACCGAGGUUAUUGUGGUGAUUUCGUCAAUCUCAAGAUCUGUGUCAAUCUCAAGAUCUGUUAGCCCAAUAUAUCUCAUAUGUACUCGUAGGGAAAGGAUGUGUGUGUUUGUAUGGAUAAGUUUUAAGGGUCUAUUUGGAUCCGUUAGCUAAACUUUAGCAGCUAAACUUUACUAAACUUGAGUUGCUAAACUUUAACCAUGACUGUUUGGAUCCAUGGGCUAAACAUCAUUUAAUGAGGUGUAGAAAGACCUGUCUGCCCUUAUUUAAUGCGAGGGGGGAGACAGAGAGAGGGUCCAGACAAGCAAUAAUGAGGGGCAAAAAGUGUCCAGCCCCAAGUUUAGCAAGGUUUAGCAACCAAAAAGUUGUUAAAGGACUAAAGUUUAGCAACCAUAGUUUAGCAAAAUUUAGCAAGGGUUUGUUGCUAAACUUUAGCUGCUAAAGUUUACCAAGGGGUAUCCAAACACCCCCUAAGUUGACAUCAUACUUUUGUUGCCAGAUUUUUUGAUGCAACACCUUAGAUUUCCUCCCUCAUAUAGAUGCCUAGAUACAUGCACGAAAUGCUUACCCAUAUAAAAAGGCACACUUAAAUACUAUGCACCUAGAGUACCAUAAAAAAAUACUGGACCCGCAGAUCAUGAGAAUGACGAAAUUACCACAGCCACCUCACUAUGAACGGGUACGCCGCUUACUACUAAAAGAAUAAUUAGCCAUAAAUGCAAGCAAUUGUCUUGAAGUUGGAGACUUGGAACUUGGAUGAGCAAGUUCAACCAAAAAAUCUAAUCAACCUAGAAUGUCGCUAUGGCAGAGAGUUUGCAGCAGCUUUUGAAAACUAUGGCUAAACAUGUUGAAAGAACACAACUCUAAUUAAUUCUAACUAGAAUGGGUCCUACUACCAAAGUAGUAUUUCUUGGAAAGAAUGGAAUUUUUCUACAUUCCCAACAUGAUUUUUUUCUCUCUCAAAAACACAGUUCCCAACAUGACCUACAAAGAACCUUUGAUCGAUUAGCACAUAAUAUUUCCUCGGCAGUUAUUCUAGGGAUCUAGCCAGAUUGCAUCUCUAUUCUCUAGUGGCCUAGAGGGCUUCUGAGCAUUUUGGUUGUGUAUUGGCAGCAGAUGGACAACACAUGAUGGAUGCACUCAUCGAAUUUUGGAUUAGUGAUCAAUCGGGCCAUCGGCUAAGUGCAUAUGCAGGCGAGGCCCCUUUGCAUAUGCAGGCCGGAGCUGUAUGCGCAAAAAAAAAAUUCAAUUGCAAAAACAAAAAAGGAAUAAAAGAGAUGAUGGCGGAUUUGCUGCCGUCGAUCUACUAGGUUUGCACACGAUCCAUGCUAUUGCUCUACCAUUGCCACCAUGCUGCGUUACUCGCUCUCCGGAUCAACCAGAGAAGGGAAAAAUUGAAGGGGGAAAGGUAGCAAUAGAAACACAUAAAAGAUUUGGAAAAAAAAAUCUUGCGACGAGGUUCCUGUUGUGCCACUCGUUGAGUGGAACCUGAAUCACCUCAUGACGGCGUGCUUCCAAGAGCCGCACUAUACACAGUCCGCCGAGAUCAGCACUAUACGCGGCCUGCUAGGAUCUGCACUAUAUGCAGUCCGCUAGGAUCCGUUAGCCUUGAUGAAAAACCGUGGAAGGGACUACCUCUUCCAUCGAGAAUCCACAUAAUCUGGGGCAGAGAGAGAGAGAGAGGGAGGGGGAGAGGGAUAGAAUUUGAGGGAGGAGGGAGAGAGAGAGUUUGCUCACCCUCCCCUUCAUGGUACCAGUUAAAGCAUAGUCUUAGCCACAUCGCAGCUCCCAAUCAGCAGCCCUCGAGCCGCACCAGAUCCCGCUAUGCCAGCAUAUGUGGAUCUCGCGGGUUCUGAGUUCCUAUCCCCCAUGGCGGCAUGCAUCUGCCUCACCUGUUGAUGGCGAGUCGGAGGUGGCCGCGGAGCAGGGGAGGUGUACUGAGAUCCGUUCGAGCCACCUCUGCGGUGUGUUGUGGAAGCCAACAGGGUAGAAAAGAGGGAGGAGGAAAAGGUAAAGGGAAUGAGAGGGAGCUCUUGUCGAUAGAAGAUAUAGGGGAAAAGGUUCUCUGAGUCAGGCACACUCACGUGAAAAAAGGGAAGAGGGGCAGCGGUGCAUGUCAACAACGUGUUGAUGACCUGUAGGGACUCCACAUACAGCGAAAUUAGAUCACCUAACCAGGGGCAAACAAGUUCAACUAUAUACCAUGGGAAGAAUGUAUGAUCCAUACAUAACUCCUAAGUCUCCAACUAGCAACUUAGUGGGAUGGUCAUUGAAGGCAACAAUCGCUCCAAAGUCUUUGAGAUUUCAUUCUAGCGGCCCCUGUCCCAUCCCUCUUUUUUCUGGUAAUUGAAAUAGUUAGGUAGUUUUUGGUUGUCAACUUUAAACCUUAGCAUAUAAGGAAAAUGGAAGAGUUGUAUAAUCGUAAACGAUUUAAGCAAUUACUUAUUUUGUUUGGUUUUGCCCAAUAAUGAAGUAUGGUGUUAAAAACAAAAAUUAAAGAAGAAGUAUAUAUGAUCAACGAGACGGUGACAAUGAUAAAGAUCUUUUGCCUGGCAUUUUGCCCUGGCAACAGCACCAUAAUGUUCCUGACAACCUGCAGGCUGUGGCGGUAAUGGGCGUUCAUUUGCAAGGUGUACACGAUCGUUGUGGAGACGAGGUCAGGGUGCAUCUAAUUUCAAGGACUUGUUCGACGUUGUUCUUCUGGAGUACUCUCUGUCACUAUUUGUUUUGACUUUUCUAAAUACAUAUUUAAAAAGAUCAAAACGAAUAGUAAUUCCAGGAAGUACGUAGGAAGCAAGCGGACACGAGGAUUAGAAUGGGCAGUGAGCCUCAUUACACUAGGUAGGCAGCAGUAUCUGUUUACCUAGUUUUUCCUUAUCUCCGUGGGAUUUGAUUGUGCCAGCGUCUAAACAAACACAGGUUGCCUCCAGAAAGGAAUUAUAUUAAAAAACAUGAACCAAAGAGAAUCUAAUAAGUUACACGCUCGUGAGACUUUGAUGCGAAUUUAUGCCAGUUAUAGGUCAUCUGUAAAGUUCCACUUAAAAAUCUUUUCCAUUGAUUUCUAAUUCUCUUUUUGUCAGGUGAAUUUGUUUUCAAUUUCAUGCUUAUUUUUUCAGUUACAUUCUAGAUUCUUGUGUUCAAGGUGGUCUGGUUCUGGUAACUCGCGGCCAGGAAGAAGAUGAGGUCCCUGGCCUCGACAAAUUGCAGAAUCAUGUCAUGGCGCUUACGAAUGACUAGUUACAAAUCUUAUUAUUAGUAAAAAAACAGAGUAUGUAUAAGAACCUGGUACACUAGUCUUGCAGCAUCACUUUGUGUUUGGAUUGAGGAUCGAAGUGGGUUGAGAUGGGUUUUACAAAACAGAGUAUGUACAAGAACCUGGUACACUAGUCUUGCAGCAUCACUCUGUGUUUGGAUUGAGGGUUGAAGUGGGUUGCCAACCCACUUUGCCCCAUGUUUGAUUGAAUUCCCAACCCAGAUGGGAAUAUUCCUACGAGAUCCGGGUCGAGCGCAUCCCAUUAAAUCGGAGGGACUGCAUGAACCCAGUCCGACGCCAUCUCCGUGCUUGCCUGCGCGCUGGGGAGGAGCUGGGAUGCCGGGUGGUGGCGGGCGCGGGGAGGUGGCGGGGGAGGUCGCCACCGUGGGGAGGCCGCCACCGCGGCGGAUGCAGGGGCCGGCGGCGGCAAGGGAGAGCAGGGGGUGCGUGGGAGGAGCCAGUAGAGGAGCCGUGCGGGGAGGAGGAAGAAGGUAGAAGAGGAAGGGAGGAAAAAAAGAGAGGCUGACUGGUGAGCCCCGCAACUGAUAGGUGGGGCCCACAACUAACGGUGUUAAAAGGACAUCCAUCCUAACCUUCUCAACCUCAUCAAGCAAACAAAAAAAUGGAUCAGCUCCAACCUACUCAUCCAAACAUGAGAUGAGAUGGCUCCAACUCAACUCACAUCGUCCCAAAAUCAAAAGCUACCUUAGUCUCUUCCUCUUCAAAUAACUGCUUCUCGUCACGGCCAGGCUCUCCGCCGCCGCUUCCACGGCGCAAUUCGUGACGUAGUUGUAGUAGGGCGGUAUAGGGGACCGCCAUGCUAGCACGCCCAUCUUGUCCUCGCCACGGGGCACGGCGCGGCCGUCGAGCACGUCCUGCAGCGUCACCUUGGGAAGCUCGGCGCUCUGCGCCGGACCGGGUCGCCACGUCCCCGUCUGCUUGCGCCAGUCGUAGUAGAAGCAGAGCGGCGCGUCCUCGGCGGCGCCGCAGAGGUAGGCGAGCCUGCUGCGGCCCGGCAGCCGGCUCGGGUGCUCGCCGAAGGCGGUGUAGUUGGCGCGCACGCCGCGCCUGACCACCUCCAGCACGCGGCGCCAGAACCGCGCGUCCAUGCUCGAGUGCAUCAGCCGGGAGAGGAUGUUGGCGGCCAUGAACGACCCCUUGAGCUCGUCCACGAGGUCCAUGGCGAUGGAAGCGAGCUCCGGGUGGUCGCCCGGGUCGGCGCUGCCGAAGGCGAGGACCUUGAAGAAGUGCCAGUAUUCUUCUUUGUGCAGGGUUGCCAGCCUCAGUGCCUGUCCCGUUCCUAGAGUUGAGACCUGCUCUGUUUGGCUGAUGACGAUGAUCUUGCUUGAUUUGUCGCUGUUGCUAACAGAGGAGUAGAACCUUCUCCAAGCUGAGGCAUCCGGCGCACCGGCAAACUCGACGAUGAUCAGUGAUCCCCCGCCGCUCGGGACGUGUUCCUGGUGCUCAGGAAUCAGAUCAUAUUCGCCGUCUCCAAGUUCGUCGCCGCAGAGAUGGGUGAUCAGAGGGAAUUGCUUCCGCACCCUGUCGUCGGCGCAGACGUGCUCCACGAGAGUCUUCUUCCCAACCUCCGGUGGGCCGGUGAUGGGGAGGACUCCGGGAAGCGAGCAAGGCCGCAGCAGGAACUCGAUAACCCUCUCCAUCUCGCCGUGCCGGCCAAACAUGCACCGGCCCAUGUGCAGAUACGUGCUGUACGGCUGGCGACCGACGCGCGGGUAGCCGCCGAGGAACACGACGAACUCCUUCAUGUCGCCGAGCACGGCCUCGAGGCUGUCAACGACGGCCUGGAGCUCGUUCAUGCUGUCUCCGCUUACCUCCACUGCUCCUUCACCGUUGUUGCCGUCGACGACCGCCGCCGCGUCGAAGUACGGCGAGGAGGAGGAGGAUCUGCGGCGCGCCGCGAGGACGCGCCUUCUUGUGCUGACGGCGGCGAGCCUCCGGGAGGCGUCGAGGACGUAGUGGCCCCGGUACAUGCCCUCCCUGAGACGGCCGAGCUGCAGGAGCAUACCGCGGUUGGUGAUGUGCCGCGUCUCGGCCUCCUCGACGACGGCGCGGGCACGCAGGAGGAGACGGUGCAGCCUCCCAAGUUUGCUGGCGGCGGCAUGCUUCUGGUACCUGGCGAUGAGGAAGGAGAGGCACCGGCCGAUGAGGUCGCUGACCACCGCAGAGGCCAAGGCGUCCAUUGCUGAAACUGAUCGAGGAGUUUCUUGCAGGCUGCUGGUUAGUGAUUACUGAACCGACGAGUGGAUUCCCGCCGGUUCGCGAGAAAAAGUUUGAUGCCAUGGAUGGAAUGUGGAGGUCCAAGUCAAGGGUCAACCCCUGAGACAGCACGGCGGUGACUGUCCCGGUUUGUGGUUCCCCUUCCAAGCAGGCGGCUGGUCGUCACUCGUCAAAGUUGCAUACAGCUGAUAAGCCGGUGAAGCAAUCAAUUUAUUGUGAAAUGUUAACAUAAAAAGGACCAGCCCAGAAUCUGUUUACUGUUCUUUUUUUAAAAAAAAGACAUCCUAAACAUCGAACUCGAAGUCUUUUUUUUUGUUUCAUCAAUGGUGUUUCCGAAGAAAUGGUUGAAUAAGAUUUAGUGAACUUUCAAACGUACGACGUCUAACAACCCCAUUUAAAAAAUCCGAUUCAGAGAACAAUGAACCCUAAAAACAAGAAUGGGGAUUGGGGUGUGCAUUUUUUUUUUUCAAGAUGAUUUGUUGUUGCAAAAGAUUUUGGGCUCAGAAUUGAAGAAGGCUGACAAUGUUCACCGGAAUGUAUGAUGUUGAGUAACACAACAAGGAUAUGCUGACCACAGGUAACAAAUAAGUGCCCAGGGUAGUUUAAAGAACCUUUUUACAAUCCUUGACUAGGAUCCCGAUCAACUAGAGAUUGUGAAAAAACGUCUUUAGCUUGUGAAUUGUUAAGAGUAAAUUUCUUUUAUGCCAUUAAGAAAAUUCCAAUCUCUUUGGUGCCAUCAGAAAUUUUGGAGAAGACACGGCAGUUUAGUCCUUAACAGAGCUCAGAGGUAUGGAACGUGACGUUCAUGGAAGGGAACAGAAAAUUUUUAACUGGUGGCAUAGAAGGAAACUCAAAAUUUGAUGGUACCAAAGGGAUUUGAAAUACUACUUCUAGAUUUCAACAGCCUAUAAUACCGUUAGUGGAGACGUGGGUAUGUGAAUGACAAAGGUGGCCAUUUCCAGUAAAAUCCAAUUGCCAAUUUGGUCUUUUUUUUCAAUGCACAAGAUGGCAAAAGCUAAUGAGAGGCAACUUAUGGGAUUGUUAAAAGAUGGUAAAAGUUGGCAUGCUUAGAUCAACCAGACCUUUUAAAACCAACAAUCCGCACUUUAGCCGAUCCAGACAGGGCCUAGAAGUGUAGCAUGAUUUUGGUAGAAGAGGUGCGUGAUGCUAGUUUCUCUCAAGUUAAAAUUAGUAGCUCUUUGCGAACUGAGUUAGUGAACUGCCCAUCCAAGUCUUCAACUCAACGUAGGUGCUUGUAUUUUUUUAUAUUUAUUUCAAGAAUUAACCAUGCUAUUCUUAAUUUUAGUGGUAAGUGGUAUGCCCGUUGACAACGAAAUGCUUAUGGUGACUUUGUUAAUCUCAAGAUUUGUUGCUCAGUUUCUCAACAAUGCUCGUCUAAGAGUAGGAUGUGUGUUUGUAUCGAUAUGGGUAAUUGUCGUAAACAUCUGCAUGGGUAUCGCUGUUUUGAAAAAAUGGGCUUGUUUUACCUUUCCAAGAAAGAAAAUAAAGCUCCUGCGUGCCAUUUUUGUUAGGAGACAUGAAGGCGAUAGACACCCUACUACUAUUAUUAUAUGUGUUAUUCAUGCGACUCUAACAUGAACUCACUACUCACACUUAUGAAAAUUAUCAAGAGACUGCUUGAACAGAUCAUGAGAAUAUCAAAGUUACCACAUCCACCUCAUUGUGAACGGUACACCACUUACUAUUACAAAAAUUAGCCAUAAAUGCAAGUACUCGCAUCGAGUCAAAGACUCGAACUUGGAUGAUCAUAUUCCACCAUUACAAAUCUCACCAACCAAGUGAUGACUAGAGAUUUUGCAACAGUUUUAUAAACUAUGACUAAACACAUAGAGAGAAACAACUCCAAUUAAUUCUAACUAGAAUGGACCCAUUACCAAAGUACUCCAACUAUUAAUGACAUUUGCACACAUUUCUAAGAGUAAUAAUAUUUUUCUCGGUGGCUAAUGUUAAUAAUAUUUUCCACUUGUUAAGAGUGCGGAAAUUGAUUGGGGGGUGGGUUGGGGGGGGGGGGGAGCACAACAUAUAGGUGGGGUAGCCCUCACCCAUCGGGCUAGUCUUUUGGGUUGAGUUAGGCCCAAGUCCUUGUUGUGGGCUCUGGUGGGGCGCCGUCUCGUGGGUAUAACAGGUCGGGUGGAUUCUGCUACGCACUCUAACAGUUAAUCUAGGGAUCUAGCCAUUUCUCAUCAUUAGUGGCCUUGAUGACUCCUGAUCAUAUGGUUGCGUGGCAAUUUGUAAGAGAUGGGACUAAAGGUUGCAAAUGAUGGAUGUAGUAGAGUUUUGGACUAAGAACCAAUGUUGGCUAAGUGCGUAUGUAGGCGGGGCCGCUUCAAAACCUGGAGCCUGGGGUGGUCGCCACAUUCACCAUCCCUAGGUCAAGGAGAUGGGCACACCAAAAUUUCAAUUGAAGAAAACAGAGGAUGGAGGGGGAGGAUGGGGCAGUGGGUAGAUCCGCCGGUGGUAAUGACCCACUGGACUCACACAUGCCCUAUGCCACUACUCUACCUUGGACACCACACCACAUCACUCACUUGUCAGGGCAACCGGAGGGGUAGGGGGGAAAGGAUGAAGACGAAAAAUAAUUGUAGAAACACACAAUAAAAUUUGGAAAAUAAUUAAAAGGAAAGAAAAAACUGGUGAUGAGCUUCAAUCCCUUGGUGCCACUCGUUGGGUGGAAACCAAGUCGCCUCACAGCGGUGAGAUCCCGAGAGCCACACUAUGUGCUCUCCAACCGGAUCUGUCCCCUUCACUAGGAAUCCACCGAGAGAUUGCACCCACCAGUUGAAGUGCCACCGCAUGCUUCACAUAUGCUCCAUCACACCACCUCUUGUUACUCAACUCCCAGCUAGCGAUGCACGGGGGGAGUUUCCUUGAGCCGCACCAGAUCCUGCUACGUCGGCAUGUGCAGAUCCCGCGAGCUUUGGGUUCUGGUCCCUCUCCAUGGUGACAUGUGCGUUCCAUGCCUAACGCAAACAAACAACACAGUGGAAAGACCAUUGGAGUGGAGGUAACAAUCACACUUUUAUUGAGACUAAACUUUGGUUCCAGUUGUCAUCCCACCCUUGUUUCCACUAUAUUUGAAAUUUUUUCUAUGCUUGUUAGUUUUUGAGGAGAAUUUAGACCAACAUUAAUUGUGUAUAUCUACGUUUGGAAUGUUGCUUAUGUUCCAUUUUUGGUCCCACAUACAAAUAAACUUUGGUUCCGGUUGUCAUCCCACCCUUAUUUCUGCUCUAUUUGAAAUUAGUUGUAUGCUUGUGAGUCUUUGAGGAUAAUUUUUUUUAUGUAACAGGAGGGGUGUGACCUCCAGAAAAAUAUUCGGUGCAAACGACCUUCUCGCGGUGGAAAUGUGAAAAUCCCUUAAAAAUCAUACUUUCAAGUAUUAAUUUUUUUUUGAAAUGAUGCACAUUCAUAGUGCAUCCAUAGACACACUUUGUGGCAAAAGAUGGGAUGCAAAACCAUUUUUGCAAAAAUUCAUACAAAAAUGACAAAUUUCAAGUGCAUAUGCACUAGAAGACCAAUUUCCAGGAAUUUCAUCUUUUAGUGUUUAUGCACAUGAAAUUUAUCAUUUUCAUUUGAAUUUUCCUAUUUUGAGUUUGCAUCGCAACUUUUGCCACAAAGUACAUCUAUGGAUUUUUUGAACACUUACAAAUAUGAUUUUUGAAGGGGUUUUCACGUUUCCACCGAGAUGGUGGUUUGCACCGAAUAUUUUUGUGUGACCCCCUAUUAGUUAUAUAUUAAAACAAUAAAUAAAGUAUUUUACAGGGAACAAAAAGAUCAAAGAAAGAGAAAGAGAAAAGAGAAAAUUACAGCAGAUUUUGUAUCCAUUCCUUGUGUGCAUAUAUCCACGGCUGGAAUGUUGCUUAUGUCCCAUUUUUUUCUCCUUCGAGAUCAUUUUCAAUUCAAAGAUUGAAGCCGAUGAUUUUAGUUUUUUCAGUUUACCUAGCAUCCCAGUUUCUUUUCAUGGGCUAGUCAGCAUCCUCAUGAUCUUUAGUUUUUUCAGUUUACCUACCAUCCUGAAGAUCUAGCUGCCAGGUAUUCAGAAACCUGACAGCCUCCGCACAAUUGCAAGUAACCCGAUCCUUUGUACCAGGUGCAACCACUAACCACGCACUAGCAGUCAACGUGAUACAGAUCCAAUCUUGGGUUAAGCCAUUAAGAUCAAAUCAGUGAAGGAUGGUCUGACCUUCCCCCCUGGUCAAUCGAAUGGGAUAACUUUUUUCGACUUACGAGAUGCAAAUCAAACAUAAAAAUGAGCACAAAGUUUACCAAUCAAUUCAGAAAACGACCUGCUGUGAACUAUCCAAUAACUCAAAGUCUUGCUUAAAAUCAAGUCCGUGACAAAUGCUCGAAGGUAAUAUGGUACAAACACGGGCAAUUGAGAGCUUGCAAAGUUCCAACCAUUUAAUAAAAAUGAAGACUAAAAUGAGUUCCUUCUCCAGGUAUAAUAUUAGCUGCAACAGAAGCUUAUAUGCGGUAAUUGUGCUGCAUGUUUUUGGUAACAAACGUCUAUUUUGUAAAUGGGAUAGUUGUGUGUCCACAGAUAGAUGUGCUACAUGUUUUUGGUAACAAACGUCUAUUUCGUAAAUGGGAUAGUUGUGUGUCCACAAAUAGAAGGAAUAGUACACUUUUGGGGAAUGCGCCUUUAGUACCUGGUCAAAAUCCAUCUUUAGUACCGGUUGUGCAACCGGUAUUGUUAUUUCGCCCUUUAGUACCGGAUCAAAUAAUCGGUACUAAAGGGGUAUUAAAAAAUAAAAAAAAAAGAAAUCCGCCAACCGGAGACCUGACCGUACCCUGCAGCCAUCCGCUAGAGCCCUAGAGCCCCGGCCGCACACCUGAGCCCCGCACCAGAGAGAGAGAGGGAGGGAGGGAGGGAGGGAGGCGGUGUACUUACGCUGCUCAGCCACCGCCGCUGAUUGCUGCCACCGCCGGAUCUGAGGGAGAGGUGGCCGCUACUCCAAGAUCCACACGCUCCUUGCUCCACCAUGCCUGCCGACGCUCCACCACCGCGCCCUCCCGCCGGAGCUCCGCUGCUCCUUGCCCCGCCGCCGCUCCUUGCUCCGCCACGCCCUGCCAACGCUCCACCGCCUUGCCGCACCCUCCCUUCCUGCCUCCGCUGCUCCUUGCCCCGCCGCCGCUCCUUACCACAUGUAAGAGGUGAGGGGCGAGUGGAGGGGGGAGGAGAGGGGCGGCGACGGGGGCGGGGGGAGGGGGGGAGGCGGCAAUGGGAUCUGUGGGAGGGACAAAGGGAGGGGAUUCAGCUGCGGAGAGAGAGGGGAUUCGGCGGGGAGAAGAAGAGAGAGAGGCGCAGGUGAGAGGAUGAGGGGGACGAGCAGAUAAGUGUGGGGAGGGGGUGAGAGAGAGAAGGGAGGACUGAUGCGUGAAGAGAGGUUGCGAUUUAGUACCCGGUGAAGCGUCCACCCGGUACUAAAGGCCUUCAGGCACAUUAGUACCGGUUGGAGGCUUCAACCGAUACUAAUGGGUGACUUUAGUACCAGGUGAAGUCUCCACCCAGUACUAAAGGGGGUCAUAGGGGUUCCUCGGGGACUAGCUGUUAGGUCCGGUACUGAGCCUCAGGAUGAAUGCUGAGUUUUCCAGUAGUGAUAACUAUUAUCACAUAAUAUCUUGUGGACUAAGGGACUGAUUGGUGGGGCACCAAAAUGUGCCAAACCAAAAUCAGGGCAAGCCCAAUGAUUCUAGUGCUCGCUUGGUUCAAAUCCAAAAAACUGGCGUGCCAAAGUUUCUGGCACAUCGGCAAGGUUCAGCUUGCCCACGUUUUGGCUGUCCCUGCCAUGCUCCCGUAUUCCCAUCCCUUACUAGUUUGCGCUAUUGUCCUCUACCUGUCAUCUCACUUCUUGCAGCCUCCAGCCAACCCGUCAUCGUCUCCUCUCCUCAAGUACCCAGGUUCUCACCCAUCAACAACAAAGCACUGGAGCUGGAGUUCCACCACCACCCUUUCCCGUUGAAGAUUAAAGGGAACUACCUUGAGUAUAGAUGGGGUAGCAAAAUCUUUCCAUCCGUUGUUAUGCAAGCUGCAUAUUCUAAAAGUGUGUGCUAGUAUGAAUCAUGAACAUUGGCAGUUGUGUUUUGGCAUCAAACCAAUUGGGGGCCAAAAUUUUGGCUGCCACAUUUUGGCACCCAACCAAGUGCCAUCCUAAAACUUUUGCUCAGAUUUUGGCAUGCAAAUUUUGGUAGGGCACAUUUUGGUGCCCAACUAAUCAGACCCUAAAAUUAAAAGUCUGUGGUUAGAAACUUAUUAUGUUCAAUUUGAACCUCUAAUUUAUUAGUUCCAUUUUGGGUUUUGCUACAGUGCGCCGGAUACUUCCCAGGAGGUACAGGAGUUCACAUAAAUCAUAGCCGUUGAUUUGUAGAAUAACUUAUUCAAGAAAUUAAAAAAAUCAAGGAAAAGAAGAAAAAAAUCCAUCCCAGGAAUCACGUUAUUUCUUCUUCAUCCGGCUCUUUCCUUGUCACCCACGGAGAGAAAGAAAGAAAAAGCUACACCGACAUGGAAGUCGGAACGCAGGUCCUCGGCGACACCUCUCGUGAAUCCUCCCCAUUCUGCAGCAUCCCUUAAAUUGUGGAAGCAAAUCAAAUCCAGGUUCAAGAUUUUCGAUCUAAUCGCAAUCGACUUUACCUGCUAGAUCUAAUUGCCACGUUAAAAGAAAAGACGUGAUACAUGCCAUCACGUGAAAAGUCAUCCAGAUCGAUGACAUCAUUUAUUUCGGUCGUCGCAACGUCCACUUUGAUAACGUUCGAUACCGCGGAUGAUCCAAGAUUCAUAAACGAUGUUUUCAAAUUUGGUUACGCAUGCGACGUGCUUCCUUGGUGGGCUAUAAAGGUAACUUGUGUGACGUACUUCCUUGGUGGGCUAUAAUAAUCUUCUAUCAAGAGUAAUGGAGCGAUAGCAAGAACUAGAUCUCUUUCAAGCCUUGUGGUCCUAUUAUCUUCCAGAGUCAUUAUCAUCGUGAAUUUAAUUCUAACUUUCCAACAAGGCAGCUAUUCGAGUAGCUACAAUAUGUCUAUUUCUCUAAACCAGCUGUGCCUUUCAAUCUCUUUUGUCCUUCCGUUCGUUCACUUAAUUUCAUCGAGGAAUUGACAAGAUCAAACGUGCUUUACCGUAGGAGUUACCACGCGCACUCACCCAUAUGAAUACACAUAUGCAACCCUAUCCAUAUGAGCAUAUUUGAGAGACACCAAUAUUAUUUUUCUUUCGCAAAACACAGUAAGUUCAUGUAUACACACGCAUACUCACCCUUAUGAAUACACACAUGCAACCCUAUCCAUAUGAGCAUAUUCGAGAGACACCAAUAUUAUUUUUCUUUUGCAAAACACAUAUAGAUGCAUAAGUUCAUGUAUACACAUGCACACUCAUCCCUAUGAAUACACAUGCAACCCAAUCCCUAUGAGCAUAUUCGAGAGACUGGGCUGACAGAUCUCGAGAUUGCGUGUACCUCACUAUAGACGGACAUGUCGUCUAGGUACCACUGAAAGAAUAGUAUUUAGCAUCUGUUAAUUCCUAGAAUAAAUCUAGGAAAUAUUCCAAGUCGAGGACUCGAACCGAGUGGGUAGGUUCUACCACAAGAAAUCAUAGUAACUACGCUUAGUUCACCACCUAUAGAUAUUUAGCAUGAUCUGUGCACAGCUUUUCUUAGUAUCCAACCAAACUUGGUGAUUCGUGGUUUUGAAAAGGUUUUUUAAAGCUCAGCUAGGAUUUUCUGGGUGGGACCUUCAAAAUAAAAAAUGGUUCACAAACCAGAUUCUAGUAGGAGAUCUGGAUAGGACUUAAACCACUUAAGGAAAAAUUUUCUAGCCUGUAUAAGAUAGUCAAUUAUUACCCUCAUGUUACAAUGACAAAUGUGAUACAUCAAAUGCCACUCAAUAUCUAUUUUCAAAGAGCUCUAGUAGGGGGAUAAGUUGACAGUGUGGCAUAAUACGGUAGCUCAAAUAACUUUCAGAUUUCUAACGAGUGGGAUAUUUUUACCUUCAACCUACAUAAACAUGGGACUGUAGAGCAGAGACAUCACACAAAUAUUCUAUGCAAUUAUGGCUAGACUCUCAAUUGUAAUUUUGCUUAUCUUUUUUGUUUCCUUUUAUGUUUCUUGAGGUUUUAUUUGUAAGCUAAACUCUUGUUUCCUUUAAUAUAUAUAAUCAGUAGGGGCUCUCCUCUCCUGUUACCAUCAAAAAAAACAUGGGACCGUACGAUCAAUGUAUCAAUACCUAAUUAACCAAUUUCCAACCGUAAGAAAUUCAUAUGGAAGUUAAAAAAUCCUCUAAAAAUUGGUACCUCCAACAAGAAAUAAUUUUAAUAAAGGAUAAUUUGGCCAAAAGGAAUUGAUUUGGGAGGCAAAAGUGUUGUUUCUUUUAUUGCAAGGAAACAACUAAACACAUCUUAUUUGACUACCAUGCCAAAGCAAUUUUGAGGAUUGUUCAUAUUGUUACCGAGUUAACUUCACCUAGAUCUAUAGUUCAUAUGUUUGGGGAAUUGGUUAACAGGCAUAGAAAAGAAGAAGAAAAAUGAUCUUUGUGGGGUUGUAGAACUUCUGUGGGGUAUUUGAUGUACACAAUGAUUUAUUUUUUAAUAUGAAAACAAUUUUUCUUUUAUGCAGGCUACUUUUAGAGAGAACAUAUUAGCUAUGAUUUUGGACACUAUUGCAGCGUGCAGAUAGGGAGACAGUCCACCUAGCAAGAAGUCAUUGCUUUGAAUAUUUUCACAAAAAUAGUGGAGAACCAGUAAUAGACUUUGCAAAUUGGUUGUAAUUGUUUCCUUUCAUUUGUGUGCCCCCCCCCCUCUUGCGCCCUCGUGAACAAUGCUUGAGAAUAUUGUGAGAAUUUGACUGUGUGCGUCCGGCAGAGGUCUAAAACAUUUCCUUUUCCUAAAAUAUAAAAGUGUGUAGGGUGGUUUAUCAAUUUGCGUAGAGGACUCCUUGUUGGUCAUAUACAGGAACAGAAUAUAAAUAAAAGAACUCUGAUGUUUAGGUGGGUGAAAUGAUUAUGAGAAAUUUACUUCAUGUGUCCACCUCUUGCAGUACCAUCUUAAUUUCAAAGCUGUAAGCAUCAUGCUUUUAAUUUGCAUCAUUUUCAGUUAGCUUUCCUAUAGCCAAUGCAUUUGUACGACAAAAAUGACAACCUAUUAUGGUCGUGCAAUAUGUUUAUUGCCCUAAGCCACAUGUGUUUUUCAUUUCAUUCUUGUUGUUUUGCGUGGGCUCUAUACUUUCCCCUAGAGAAUACGAUGACAACUUGCCUCAAGCCCUCGACUAGUCCUAACAUAGAGGCCAAUAAAGACAAUUAGAAAGAAGACUACAGCGUAACUGAUGUUUUUCAUAUUAGUAUAGAUAAGUCUGUUUUAGCUCACCCACACAUUUUACCAUAGAGGCCGACUGUAGACAAUAAACAUGCUCAAACAUGAUCUAUGCAAUGUGGCCGUGCAUUUUAGGAAAAAAUGGAACUGUUUUUUUUACUGGACGAAUUUUUUUUAGCUCAUCAACCCAUGCCAUUUCUUCUUUAUCUAAUAAUACAUCAGCGGCUAAAGAGGCAUGCUCGUGGGCCAUGGAGAUGGGUGAAAGAACAUGUUUUUUUUUGGCACCUCUUAUAUUUCAAGUGCUUGAAAAUUUUUAUUGUUUCAUGCAAUGUAUUUCAAUAUUAUAAAUGCUGCUACGUGAUGUUGCAUAUGUUGGUAUCUGAUAUUGCGUACAUCGCUAUUCAAGUGUUAUAAGUGAAUUGAAUAUGAAACAUAAUUUAUUUUUUAUGUUUUGGACGUUGAUUUUCAAUGUUGCAACCCAUUGCCUAAAAAUUGUUAAGCUAAGGAACCUGUUAGUUAUUUGGUCUAUUGCGCCUAUACACAUGGACAACAUUUUUUAGGUUUUCGAAAUUUACGCCACCUCACUAAAAAUAGAUGUGCUUUAGUGAUCAAAGCAAUAGUUGCCAACCAAGAUAGCCUAUAUAAGAGCUCAAGGCAAUGCUAGCAUCUCCCAAGACGGAUUAACGACAAUGCUCGGUGCAGCAACUGAGCAGCUGGUCUGUGUGACCGGAGCUGGAGCCUUCAUCGGGUCAUGGCUAGUCAAGGAGCUUCUCCACCGUGGCUAUGCUGUAAGAGGCACCGCAAGAGACCCUGGUGAGUCAGCGACUCGGUGUAAUGCGUCCAUCAAGGGUGAUUGGUCUCUAAAUUUGCAUGGAUUUUUCAAAGGACUCACCAACUAGUGUCGGAGCACCCAUUGUCCUAGCUUUCCCACUCACUAUGCCACACCAACGUAUCUCCUUCCUCCACCCUCACCAGCCAUGUAUGAUAUAUAGCAUGCCACACGCCCUUUAAUGCCUUCUUACCUCUCAAUCUCUUAUUACUAGGUGCCAACUGUGUAAACUUCAAACAAAAUGUUGCUAGCUAGUUGCUGAUUUUUGUGCAUCUGCUAACAUGAUUCCAGUGGACCGCAAGAAGUGUGUAUAUUUAUCUCACUAGUUGUUUUUAGUUCUGUAAUUUAUAGAUUAAUGAUUAAUUUUUUGUUACGGUGCUAGAGGACUGCAAGAACGCCCAUCUGCAUGCACUCGAUGGAGCUGAAGAACGGUUAUCUCUGUACCGUGCUGAUGUGUUGGACUACAAGUCACUUCGUCCUGCAUUCAGCUUAUGUGAUGGUGUUUUCCAUGUUGCCUCCCCAGUAUCGAAUGAUCCUGUCAGAAUACUUCCUAUAAUAAGUACCAUCUAUCUAAGUCUCCUACAUGCUCAGAAAGAUUAUUGAAUCCAUGUCUAACAUGAACCUAUUUAAUUUAUUCCAAUUGAAGCGACAGACAAAUGUUAAACGUGUCAUGAAAAUAUGCAGGAACUUGUGCAGGUCGCUAUUGAGGGAACAAAGAAUGUCAUCAACGCUGCAGCAGACAUGGGAGUGCAGCGUGUGGUGUUUACCUCAUCUUAUGGAGCUGUGCAUAUGAACCCUAAGAGGAACCCUAAUCAGAUUCUGGAUGAGAGUUGUUGGAGUGACCUUGAGUACUGCAAGGAAACACAGGUCACCACUUCUACCAUAUAAAAGAACCCUUCCAAAAAUAAUUACACUAUUCAAUGAUAUUUUUGGUAAAUGAAGCACACCUUUUUAGUUAUCACAUAAGCAUUCGAUGAAAAUAAAUAGGAGACAGCGGAGUUAACUAAAUCUAAUUAAGGUAACACCACAACAAACCUUUUCUAACGUGAUACACCGACAAAAAAUUCAAGAAAGAGUGUAUUUUUGUCAUGGAAAUAUAUCAAAAUAUCCUUCAUGCCAAUCACCACACAAGUAAUGACCAUUUCUGAAUGCUAUUUGUGACAUUUUCUUGCAGAUGCCAUCUCAUUUUUUUUAUGAAAGCAUGUUCGUUGCCACAUUAUAUUAACUCUAUAAUUUUUGUGUCACUAAAUAAUUUUGUUAGAAGCAUAUAAAUAAACUAACAAUCUUUGCCAUUAUAAAUGCAGUACAUAUUUUCCAUUAUAUUGGAAAUUUAAUUUCCACUGAGAAUUUUUUGAGUGGCACAUAUAUGUAGUACACCUGCCUUAUGGGUCUAUAACUUAUGAUGAAAGUGCAUGCACAUUCCUUGACAUUAUUGCACGUUACGCUAUAGAUAAACAUGUCUCGUAAAAACCUUAUGACACGGGAAUAUAACCAUCAUUAUUGGGUUAGCACACCUGCCAUGAUUAACAUGCAUCAUAUUAUGGACUUAUUAUGAUUGAAUUAUAGAACUGGUACUGCUAUGCAAAGGCAGUUGCUGAGAAGACUGCAGUGGAAGAGGCAUCAAAGAGAGGGGUACAACUAAUAAUAGUCGUCCCUGCAGUCACGAUAGGCAGAAUGCUACAGUCAACGUUGAACGCAAGUUUAUACGGAGUCGCCACCUACAUGAAUGGCACAAAGAAGGCGUAUCCAAAUGCAGUUGCCGCAUAUGUCGAUGUGCAGGAUGUUGCUCUUGCCCAUGUUUUGGUGUACCAAGAUCAGAAUGCACAUGGACGCUACCUCUGCAUAGGUGACGUGCUACAUCGGUCGAAGUUUGUUCAAAUGUUGAGAGGGCUCUUCCCACAAUAUCCUGUCACCGCUAAGUAAAUCUCUGCACUCUGCAUUAAAAUUUCAGACAUAUAUUUCAUUCAAAUGUGGCCUUGUUUAAUCUUUUAUAUUCCUUUAGAAAAGCUAUGAAAUUUUAUAAAGCAAAGUAAUCAAAAUUAGACUGCCAACUUAAAGUUAAUCCAAUUUGAGAUUAACCAUAGAUAAAAUUUUGAAUAUUUUAAAAAAAAGUCUGUGUCAACCGGAAGUUUGAGGAUUAAUUAGUUUAUGUGUUCAGAAUUUGAAUACAAUUAUACUGCUCCCAGGUCCAUUUCUAUAUAGAUUAAACUAUAAUGAUGUCCCUGGUGUGCAUUAAACUAGAGUUCAUAUUAGUUUGAGUUGCACAGAUUUGGCUACCCUUUAUUUGCAUCUCAGUAUUACACAAAAAUAUCACUAUUCAUAUGUUCGUUGUAUGUCCUUGAUGUCUCACUGGAACGAAGGUCCAGGUUCCACAAGUGAGCCACAAGUGCAUAUUGUGGAUUUCUCCUUAAUUAUGUAAAAUAUUCUAAGUAGCCAUUUUUAUAUGUUAUUAAGUGAUGGCAAACUACAUGUAUAUACCAUUGUUGCACAGUCUUUUACAUGAUGUUUUUGACAUUUCUUUCGAAAUUUGAGUUACUUUAGGCAACGACCAUGAUAAAAAAGAGGUUUUCAUCAAAUUUUAAAAAUACCUAAAGUAAUAUUAUUUUCAUAACAUUACUAGUGCUGCUGCAAAGGUGAAACUAUUGUCAUACUCAUCAAGUGCGGUAUAGAAAAGUGCUAUGUAUUACUUCAACUAACUUUUGGUUCUUUUUCCUACUAACAACCUAAACACUCACCAAAAAAAUAUAAAAAAUAUCUAUCAUCAGAGCAACUUAGUUUGGUCCCAGCUUCCAUAAAUGAAAAGGUAGUAUUUUGAUUUACAAAUUUAAUUUCUCUUGUCUUUGUCUGCCCAUUAUUUAGAUGUGAGAACGACAGUACGCCGAUGGUGAAGCCUUACAAGUUCUCUGUGCGACGGCUCAGGGCUCUGGGUAUGAAGUUCACUCCUUUCAAGGAAAGUGCAUACAACACAGUGAUCAGCCUACAGGAAAAUGGUCAUAUCCCCAUACUGCCACAUAAGUCAGCCCUGUGAGAAAUGAGGAUAUAUAUUUAAAUAAAGGAUUUGAACAUGGGUGUUGAGUCAAUACUUUAGUUGGUAUACAUGGACUAUGUAUGAAGUAUUGUUCAAGCUUUAAAGGGAAUAACCACUCAAAUUAUUCUUAAAUAAUAUAUAGGAAAUUUGGAGCUGGUCUUCAUUUAUAAAGCAAAGGCACAAGUGUGGGGAUAGAUCCUCUAGUAACCGUAAGGAAGGAAGAAGAUAGGAUCAUAUUAGGAUUCUUGAGUAUAUUUGUAAUCCUAAUAGAACUCUUACCUUUACCUUGUAAUUCUAUCAAGACUUAUACAUUGUAACCUUUUGAGAUAUAUAAAGGGGCAGGGGUUCACAACUCAUACCUCAUACAUCCAAGCGCAUAGCGUAAUAAAUAUACUCCACUUCAAAUAUGGCGUAAGGUAUUACAUUACUCUGAUAGCCCAAACAUGUAUAAAUUUGUGUCUUAUGUCUAUUGAUUUAUCACAAGCUUCAGAUCCGAUGAUUUCCCCACCUAACAAUUUACUAUCUCAGGAAUACUUUCGGUAGGUUAACGGCUACAAAACACCAACAAAGUAUCUGCUCAGUUGGUUUCUGUGACUGCCCUUUGCUUGCUUUUGGCAAACAUAUUAGAUAUGUUGUAUGUGCUCUGUCUGUGCGUCAAACCUGCUCUUACAUCAGUAGCUUGAUUGAUCCUAAACUUCCUCUGAAAUAGCUUAUCAAGAUAUCUUUUACGGUCCUUAGAUGAUGAGACACAAAGCAUAGGGGGGGAAAGACUAUAUCACACCUAGGUGUUUAUGAAGGCCCAAAACACCCGAGCUCACUACUUUAUCGAUAGUGCUCGUCCUUCAUUGUCCAUUCCUCUUUUCUUUCUUCCGAACCGCACUGCGGCCCAGGUCUUCCUAGCUCUGCUCACCCACGAGGCCACGAAUGCCUUGCACAACUUCAGCUUUGACUUAGGAUCUGUCUUGCACAACUGGGUGCUUUGACUUAGGAUCUGUCUUGCACAACUUCAGCUUCGAGAUUCAGGUUGAACUGUAGUUUGUACACAGUAGAUUAAACUAGUCCAAAUAUUUAUAUUUAGGCACCGUUUGGUAGAGCUCCGGCUCCUAUCAAAAUGGCUCCGGCUUUGGCUCCUCUGGUGGAGUGACUUCUCCAGUGGACUGUUUUGGAAAACGUUUAGUAGUAAAACGGCUUCUCAACGUCAAUAUGGAUAAUUUUAUGGUCAAUUAAUACUUGUAAAGGGAGGAAAAGUUGGUGAAGCCACUUUUUUUGUCUCCUCCUCUUUAGUGUAAGCCGUUUUAUGGUUUCUCCUCGGUUUCGAUGGUGAAGCCGUUUUGAAGUUGCUCCUUUGGUACGUCUUCACCACGUCUUCACCAAAAACUGGUGGAGACGCCUUUUGAGAAGCAUCAAAGGUUAGUCUGCACUAUAAACAAAACUAUUCACUAAAUGUUCCUGACUUACGUCUAGUUCUAGAUCCAAAAUUUCUUAGUGCUACCAAUAUCUACCUUUAACAGAUCCAUAAUUUUUUUAGACAAGCUAUACCAAAUUGACCCAUAUUAGCCACUAGUUUGAGUGCCCUUGUGUUGAUUUUGGCAAAAAAAAAUAAUUAUCAUUGUCUUGACUGAGCCAAGCAUUUCUCUUGUACACAAGCGAUCAAUACCAGUAAAAGCCGGCAUACAUGAUACAUGUACCCCCAUAAACCUGCGGUGUGUAAAUUGGCCAGAUAAAACGCUGCUGCAUUCCUGGCAGUCUGCUCGGGUGCUGGAGCACCGUUUUUUUGAAAAUUAAGUGCUGGAGCACCGUACCAUCACAAUCUGUUGAUCCAUACCAUUGGUGUUCUCCGCGCGACGCCGUCCCUCCGGCGUCCUCCAUUCCCCGUCGCCGCUCCACCUUCAUCACUGAACGUCUUCCCCUAGCUCCGCCUUCUCUUUGCCGGAGCCACGAACCAGUUGGCCUCUCCUCCUCUUAUUCAGACGCCGUUUCUUGCCGGCCUCCACCUGAGCAGCUCUCUCCAUGUCGCACGUCGCGACGUAGCUCGCGUACGGAGGGAUGCGGGAUUGCCACAUCAGCACGUCAAACCGCUUCUCCCCGGCCCAGACGACGCCGCUGCCAACCUCCAGCAUCGUCACCGUCGGGAGCUCGCUCCGUGCCAUGCCCGUCGACUUUCGCCUGUCGUAGAACAAGCACGGAGCAUUCGGCGGCGCGCCCUUCACCGGCACGCGGGGGUAAUAAAUCCACCACUCACCGGCGCCAAGCUGCAGCACCGUGACUCCGGCGGACACCUUCAGGACGCGGCGCCAGGACCGCGCGCUCAGGUCGGCGCGGAGCGACGCGGCGAUCUUGUUCACCGCGGCGAACGGCGUGAGGUCCGGGAUGCCGGCGAACAGCGCCAUGGCGACGCGCAGCAGCUCCGGGCGCUCCUCCGGGUCGGCGCCUCCGAACGCCAUCGCUUUGAACAGGUACCAGAGCUCCUCCCGGCGCAGCUUGCGCAGCCUGAGCGGCGGCACGGUGCCCAGGCCCGAGUGCGCCUCCGUCCUGCUGAUGAUUACGACCUUGCUCUCUCCGUGCGCGCGGCGGCGAACGGACGAGCGGAACCUUCUCCAUCGCUCCUCCUCGUCCACGUCGCCGCCGGCGAGGUCGAUCACGAACAGAGAUCUAGCAGCGGUGUCGAUCAACCCUUGAUGAUGCUCAUGGCUCGGUAGAAUAAGAUUAUCACUGUUAAGAUAAUGAAUCUUGGCGAAUUUCUCUCGCACCCUCUCCUCGAGGCACGCGUGCUCAACCAGAGUCCGCUUGCCGACUUCGUGAGGGCCGAUGACCGGAAGAACAUCCAAAUCUUUAGCAGGUUGUAGCAGGAAGCUGACGAUCUGCUCCUUCUCUAUCUGCCGGCCAAACAUGCACGUCUCCAUGAACAGGUAGAAGCUGUACGGCUGGCGGUUGAGACGUGGACAGGCACCGAGGAGCACGAUGAACUCCCUCAUGUCGCUCAGCGCAGCUUCCAGGGUGUCCACCAGAACAGACAGCUCACCUGUGGCGUCACUGCCCGGAGGCAAGCCGAGCGACCGCCUCGCCGUGGCGUGCGGUCUCCUCCUGCUGCGCUCGAUGGCUCGCCUCGUGAAGGCGUCGAGCACGUAGGCGCCCCGGCACAUCUCUCCCCUCAGCUGGUUGAGCUGCAGCAGCAUCGCCCGGUUGGUGACCUGCCGCGCCUCGGCCUCCUCGACGACGACGCGGGCUCGCAGCAGCGCUCGCUGCAGCCUGACGACGUCGUCGUCGGUGGUGGUGGAGCCGGGCUCCUGGAACUUGCUGAUGAGGAAGGAGAUCAACCGGCCGACGAGGUCGCUAGCAACUGCAGACAGCAGCGCCUCCAUUGCCAAGGACCAAUGCCCCUCCCUGCCCCAGGCCCUUUAACUCCUCAUUGACUGAACAGCAAUGGACGUAUGAACGUAGUAGGAUGCUGGUUUGGAAUUUUAUUCGCCAUUGAUUAUGUGUGCGGUUACGGUUGUCACAGGUCACUGACCGAGAUGCAUUAGCCGACGACCGGGUACACCAGUACAGAAAAGAUUAGCGCCAUCUCGCUUUCAGACACACGGACCAUAUCUUUUCUCCCCUCUUUGCAAACACGCAAUGCUUGGUAAUAAGGCAGGAAAGAUAUGCUGACUGGCAGAGAAGAAACUUACUUGCUCGUUGUCCAAGGGAGGACCUCUAGGUGCUCAAUAUUCCAUCAAGGCAUUGCCACUGUAAUCUUGCCAAGAAACAGCAAUAUUGCCCGGUACAUAUUUGAAUAGUAUUUCCUUUAACAGGUUUACAAUGGAGCCAUAGUUCUUCUCAUAUAGUAGGCACGAAAAAUUCCCCAGCAUAUAUACUAGUAAAAAAGAAGAGGAACGAAGCUCUCCAAAAAUCCUUGCUGCGCUGUGCAAAAUUCAGCUGCCAGAGUAGCAGCACAAAGAUGUCCCAGGACAGGAUACGCAAUUGGUGGAUUUAUUUGGGUUUCAGCUAGUAUCAGUUCGUACAUUCCAAGCUGGCUACAUUUUGCUCCAGUGCGAGGAAAUAGCAAGCACUGUGCAAGAUCCAAGAAGUGGGAACCCACACAAAUUCUGCUCCAAGAGAGAAAUUGUAUUUUAUUUAUAUGAUUCAGUAUGGUGAUCCCACAACUGUAUUUGCCACAUAAGCAGCCCUAAAGCUUAUAGGCUUCAUAGGAUUUCGUUAUAUCAGAACUUGCUAAAGAACUCACAGAUGUGAUCAGAGACCUCACUAGGCUUCUCCUGAUUGAUGAAGUGGCUCACUCCCUCCAUAACAACAACAUCCUCCAGUUUUGGUACGCUUGCCUUGAAGCCACCCUUGUGGAUGUAAUCCUGUACCCCCGGAGUGUUGUACGUAAUAUCCAGGUCCCCAACAAUGAAUUUUGUUGGAACUUUUAUCGGAGCACCAGUCCAUGGUGCAGAAAGCUCCCAAUUCCUGCAUGAACAUAAAAUGAAUCUGAUGAGAUCAAUGCCUUGGUCAGUUCUAAACAAAGCCCCCAUACAUAAAGUUUGAAUUUGAUUGGCUGACACUAUCUGAAAUCUAAUUCAGUCAUACAUACCAACUAUUGUUUAUUAAGAUGAAUGUAUUUCAGUACAUCUGUCAUUAACUCCUCUCCUUUUUAAGUUUUGGCAAACAUUUCAGGGUGAUAGAUCCUCCUAGCAUGUGAAUUCAAAAUCAUAAGGUAUGCACUACAGAAUGUGAAACCAUUUAAACAUUUGAAGGCAUCAAACGACAGUAAAUCAACAGUAAAAUCACAAAGGUAUGCACUACAGAAUAACAAUAACACUGGCCAACAGUGAACUGAAAGUUGACUUGGCGGAUGGCAAAUAAUUGAUUGCCUGAAUAAAGAAGUAAAUUGAAAAUAAAAAUUGUGAGAGUGAACCAUAAAAGACAUACAGGUUCAUGCAUCUGUAGUAGUUAAAUCCUCCAGUAAAGCCUGUCUUUGAAAAUUUUUCUGCAUAGUAGGAAAUAUCUUCCUCUGAUAGCCAUGGAGGGCAUGUUCCGUCUGAAUCAAGUGAGUCAAAGAAGCUCUUGUCCUUGGGUAGAACAAGAGGAGCUGGCUUGCGCAUGCCAAAUGUCUUAUUAAAAAUAUACUUGGCAUCAUAUUGAGCGAAUUCAGCUUCAGCAACUCCAGGUUCCUGCAUGCAUCAUUAUGCAAUUCAGAUGCGCAAUAUUUCUCAAAAGAAAAAUCAUGUCUCAAGCGAUAUCAAUAUGCACAAAGUAUAUCAUAUAAAAAUAAAAAUCAAUAGCUGACUCCAUACAACCACACUAAGGGAAUGCUGCAUUUUAUAUUCAAAGGGUGUUACGAAGUUGAGGAUUUCAAGAGAGUGCCAUCCCAAGAGUUAUUAUUGUUCUUGAAGAUCUAGAAUGAAGAAAAAUCUUGGAAUUCAAGACCGAUUACUGAUUAUUAGACGAUGAAGCUUAUCCCCCAUCGUCUCACUGGCCGACCUUGACCCCUGUUAUUUUUGGGUCAUUCUGAAGUCACUGAGACAAUCUGAAUUGUUAAUUUUUUUACAGCUUUGAAAGACCCGCUGCUGCGUGCAUAUGCUCAGUUGGUAGAAUCCCAAAGAAGGUUUGAUAUUUUCCAAGAAGCAAUGCUAUUAACUGGUGGUUUGCUGAUGCUACUUUCUUUUAGGAAAAAUGAAAUCAUGGACUGAGUAUUUAAGCUUGUAUAAAAUGAUCUGCUAAUAAUCUCUCAAUCAAGUCUAGGGUUGCUUCUUCAUCUUCUAAAUCAAGCAAUCUCUCAAUUAGCAGUUAUUUCGUAACCCUUAUCUAUCUACAAUUCUGGAUAGUUGUUAUUGGUCACUCGCAGUAUUAUCUGGCGUCAAAUCUGUUCCUUCAUUUCGCUAUUUUAGAGCAGCCAGGAGAAUACAAAUUGCACAGAAAGUAGGCACCAAGUAAUCGUUCCAGCAUCGAUCCAACCAAUCUGCCAAAUUAAACGAGUCCAUCGCCAGUGCCAAACCUCGUCCAUUUAAUGGUUGCCAGGACAGAGGACAGAACAGGGCUACUCAUCAUAAAUAAAGGUCAAUUCUGCCUGAGUAGUGAGUACAAGUACACAAUGGGAAUGGAAGCAGAGUACUCCACUUGUUACCUGGAAGCGGCACAUGUAGUGGUCUUCCCCGCAGGCGGCCUUGAUGGUCUGGAGCGGGCUCCCCUCCGGCCGCCGCGGGUGGUACACGACGCUGAGGUUCACGAGCGCCCGCACCAGGUCCGGCCGGAGCAGGCAUAGCUGCCACGCCACGAUGGCGCCCCAGUCGUGCCCCACCACGAACACCUGCCGCGAGCAGAGGACCCAAUCCAAAAAAGAAGAAAAUAGAAGUCAACGUCGAGUAGGUGAUUGCUGCUUCGCAGCUUCGCUUCGAGGAAUCGAACGGAUUGCCGCUGCCAUGAAACCUGGGGCUGGCCGAGGUCGGCGAUGAGCGCGACGAGGUCGCCGACGACGUGGAACGUGGUGUAGGCGGACGCGUCGGGCGGGGCGUCGGAAUCGCCGUAGCCGCGGAGGUCGGGCGCCACGGCGCGGUAGCCCCGCGCCGCCAGGGCGGCCAUCUGGUGGCGCCAGCCGUACCAGAGGUCCGGGAAGCCGUGCAGGAGCAGCACCGCGGGGGCGGCGCCGCCCUCGGGCCCCGCCUCCGCCACGUGCAGGCGGACCCCGUUCGCCUCCACCGUCCGGUGCCGCACCCCAUCCACCACCGCCGCCAUCCCUAUCCUGUGCCCUCCUCUCUGCUCCAGUGCUCACCGAGGCGCCCUGGCUCACUCAGGCAGCAAGCCUGCUACCAGUGGCGCACGCGCAGCCGCCUGCUUUUGUAGCGGGGGGCCGCCGGCGGGUGGCUUUGGGAGCGCAGCACGCAGCUGGGGUAUUUUGGGGCGUGCGAGGCGUCCGAACGGACGGGCGGCGCGGGCGAGAGUUUGUGUAAUGGGUUUUUUAAGUCUAUGUUUAGUACUUUUAAUUAAUAUCUAAAUAUUCGAUAUGACACGUGCUAAAAAUAAACAAAGGGAACCAAAUGCCCCCUAAGUUUUAACCGGCUUGUCGUAGAGAAAAGGCGAUAUCAUCAUACGAAGAUAGGUGUGCAUUCGUCUGGAGAUACGAGAAUUUGUAAUAAGAUUGGUCCUCUCCAUGGUAGAUCCCUUGCAGGAAAAAAAAAUAGAAAAAUGGACUGAAAUUGUUAGCCUUUGUAAAAUGGACUGAAAAUGGACUACUUUAGGUGAGGUUGCAUUUUAUACAAGAGAUUGUACUGUUGAAUCGAUUUGAAAUUUGUACAGGUGGUUCAUGAGGUGAUACACUGGAGGGGGACGUGGGGAGGGAAGUCGAUUUUACGGUGAACGGCGAACGCUAGCAAAGUAGCAAUUAAGGUAAGUUUUUAGAGGUGGACAGUAUUUCGAAUAAAGGUACUUUCUGUGUUUAUCUGUUUUUAUAUAAAAUGUAUCCGAUAUAAAUUCAAAUAUCCUCAAAAUACUAAUGUAAAUUGGAUGCUUCGGUUUGCUGAUUUUCUGUGUCAGCGUCAGUCUUCCAUUUGCGGUGGCAAACGCUGGGCGGCAAGCGGCAUGGGUCGCUCAGACGGUCGCGUCCUGCGGUUGGUGACUUGGUGGACGACCACCAGCCGGUCAGUUCAGCUGUUAGCUCGCUACUGAAAGCUUGAGGCUGAUUGGCAAAUCCCUUAGCUGAACAAAGCAAAAGGAGAGCUUCUGGAGAGGACGAAAGAGUGGAGCAGCUUUUACAUUGUAAAGUGCUAGGAUUGGUGGUAGUAUCUCUGACUUAGCUUGGUGGUAGUACUUGGUUAAGAAAAUUGCAUACAGACGGUGAAACCUUUUUGAGAAAAUUGUAUCUGCUUUAUUUUAACUAUGUAGGAUUACAAUCACGAAAUAGAAAAGGCAAGAGAGCAGAAAGAAAUCAAACUUUUUGAGAUAGUAAAUCUUGAUGAUAAACUAGACGAGUAGUUCGAAACAUUAUAAACAAGGAACAAAAGCUAAUAAUUACAAACCCACAAGCUAAAGUCGAUCGACACUAGCUUUUUUGGUGUUUUUUUUUUUUGAAAUAGGAGAUUCUAGGUGCCUAUCAGAUUAAAAGGUCAUGUUAGGGGAUGUUUGCUAGUUUCGUUUUCUCUUAAGGCACUUGUUUCCAAGAUUAACUCUUCUAUUUUUCUCCACAACCCAGCAUGAUACGUAGUUGUGAUAUGGAGGGAUGUGAGAUUGACCGGCUAUAUCAAACAUCUCUCCAUUUUGCACAGGCCUUGAAGUAAGCACAUCUUCGGCCCUUUUCUUGUUGGUCAUGUCUCCUUGCAUCAUAGACCUUGUCUUGUAUCUGUUAUAGCAAAACAUGAGAGGACUAUCCUGGCUAAAGCCAAGAAAAUACGAUAAAAAUCUAUUGCUAGAUUGUGUUUCCCUUGGGUCUUCUCCAAAGACAUGAAUGUGCACCUGCAUUACCUUUCUUAUAGAACACAAAGCACGGCGCCAAAAUUGCACAUUCAGAUUACCUCUUAGCACCCUAGCAAUUGUUCUCGUUGUCAUAAGUGAACCACGGAUCCCCAUUGCAAUUUCCUUAGCUAUCGAGGCAAGAUCUGGAUGAUGAUCAUAUGGGUUUGCACUACCAAAGGCAAGGACUCUAAAGAAGUACCAAUGCUCCUCUUCACGUAACCUUGUCAGCCUAAGAGCUUCCACUGUCCCUAAACUUGAUGCACAAUCCAUUCUGCUGAUGAGUAUGACCUUGCUGCUGUCGACUCCACGGCGCAAUGAAUGGUAAAGUUUACCCCAUGCCACCACAUCACUGUCAUGAACAAGCUCCACGACAAUCACGGAUCUCCCACCCGAAGGAUUAAACUUCUUACAUAUAUGAUUAUCCGUGUCAGUACCAUUAGCUAGAUCCAUGAGAUCAUCGCUGCUGAAGUGCAAGAUUUUUGAGAAGUUUCUUCGCACUAUCUCCUCUCUACAAGCAUGCUCAACUAGGGUAUUUUUUCCAACAUAAAUUGGUCCAAUAACAGGAAGGAUAUCCAAAGACGAACAAGGGCUUAAUAAGAAGUUGACAAUAAGCUCUUUUUCCGACUGUCGGCCGAACAUGCACCUCUCCAUGAACAAAUAUGUACUGUAUGGCUGACGAAUAAUCGGAGGGCAAUUCAUCAAAAGUAACAGAAACUCUUUCAUAUCAUUAAGCAUGGCUUCUAAAUUGCUCAUAAAUUGUACUUGGAGUUUGUAUUGGCUCACCUCUAACAGCCCAUUUGAUCGAGAGGGCCAAACGUCGGAGGUGUCCAACAUGUAGUAGCCACGGUACAGGGACUCUCUGAGCUGCUUAAGCUGCAAGAGCAUGCCAUGGUUGGUGAUUUGCCGCCCAUCGGCCUCCUCAACGACGAUGCUGGCUCGCAGGAGCAGCCGCUGCAGCCUUGAAAUCUUAUGGGUGGCAACCUGAUGAUGAGCCUGGUAGUUUUCAACGAUGAAGGAGAUGAACCGGCUGAUGAAGUCGCUGAUCACUGCAGAUAUCACUGUAUCCAUGAUCUCUGUGUGCCAGGGAGAAAUAAAAUGAUUAUUGUACAAAUCAUGAUACAGCUGCAUACAUAUAGUCAGGAUUGGAGGGACGCAAGCUGGAACUUGGCUACCAGACAUGGGGACAGGGUAGUUUUUUCCCCCUGAUUUUUCCACAAGUGUCCCUCUCGUUGACUAGUCUUCGAAGAAGAUGCCGUUGUGCGAAAAAGAGGGGUACUUCCGUCGUCAAACUUGACGAACUUAUGAUAUAACUUUUUUCUCCAUAAUUUUGAAGGGGUAGACUUUUCAUGCUUUUUACAGGAGUCCCUCUCGUUGACUGAUCUUCAAUAGGGCGCUCGCCAUGGGUGUUCCCAGCUAUAGAUUCCUGACAACUCGAACUUGUCUUUUUUUUAAAAAAAAAUUAUUUUUCACAGCUUUCCAUUUUUGAAAAAUGAUGAAAUUAUAUAUAUAACUUUUAUGCAUAAUUUUGAUUUCCAAACUUGUUACGAUAAAAAUUAUAUAUAUAAAUUAUGCAAAAGAAACGAAAAAUUAUAUAAAAAUUAUACAUAUAGUUAUAUGCAUGUAUAACUUUUAAAAAGAAUAAUUGUAUUUUUAUUUAAUCACGCUUGCACGUAGAAAGGUUGCAUAUGCAAAGAAGUAUACUUCAACCCUCUCUACAGGUUCCCUCAAACCUCAGAUAUGGAAGUAGAAGUCGGGUGCAAUCAUUUUUAUUUAAUCAUACCUAUCAAGAUUAAUACUAAUGAAUUGCAUGCAAGACUAAUUCAACUAAAAAUUUAAGAUAACAAGAAAAGAUGAGCAAUUUAUUUAUACCUCACUAUUAUCGCCUCUCAGCCUCCACGACGACGCGACCUCGGAGGAGCAAUCUGUUUGUAGCCUUGGUAUUUUGCUGUGGCAACCAGAACCUCGGAUUUUGCAGCGACGAAGGAGAUGAACCGGCUGAGGAGGUCACCCACCACUGUAGAUAGCAGAGUAUCCAUUGCAUACGCACGCUACAAAAGAGUGCGGUGGUUCUAAUUCAACAGUGCAGAUUUAUACAGAAUUGGGUUCAGGGGGAGAAAGCAGUCGGUGAGGGUGAGGCACAAGUUCGAAGCCAGACAGCUUGAGCGGUGUAGCCUGUUGCGCAAAGGCAAAGGGAGGCGACAUGAUUUUUGUUGUCUCCCUGAAAUUUUUCUUGCUCUGACCGGCGCACCGCCAAAGACGUUACGGCGCCGGUUAGUGGCCACCGGAGCUGCGCCGCUUCCAGCCACUCGAUUUGGCCGUCGUGACUUGUGAGUUGUGGCGGCGGAUCCCACAAGACCUGCUGAAGUUGUUUUACAGGAAGACCUGUAAGUAUUUAAUUUGAAUGGGAGAAAAUAGGAGUCAGCAGUCCAUUUUUGCGUAGUCUUUUCGCCUCUCGCUGAUGAACAGAUUCUACAGCGAUACGCCGAUGCCAACAGCGAGGCGUCAAAAAAGCAAAAGGAAAAGAAAAAAAUCGACGCUCACUUUCUGGGGGGGUCCUAUAUGCCUUCCACGAGAUGUAUAAGAGAUACAACUAUAAAAGCCCAGUAUAGCCCAGCAACGGCACAUAGGAUUACGCGUGCGCAAAUUAGAAAGCAGGCUGCCGAAUCGUUGCAUGCGUGUGCCUCCGUUCCUCAAGCAGGGAGACUCGACGAUAGGGCCAAUCAUGGAAAGAGACUCAUGCUUUAUCAUUUUUUUUUUGGUUUUAUACUUCGCUUUGUUUUUUUCCUACUAGAUCACUAUGAAACGGUAUAUUCAAAAAUUUUGUUAGGCUGAAUCAAUAUUUUUUAAAAAAACUAGUUCAACAUUUAGUGAAAAUUAAUUCAACAUUUUUCCAGAAUGUUGAAAUAGUAUAGCAUAAAUGUUGAAACGAUAUCUAAAGAAUGUUGAACAUUUUUUUAGAAAAUUUCUUUAGAAGGAAUCAAUAUUUUUUUAAAAAAGUUGAAAUAGUAUAGUAUAAAUGUUGAAACGAUAUAUAAAGAAUGUUAAACAUUUUGAGAAAACUAAUACAACAUUUUUUCAGAAAUGUUAAAAUAGUAGUAUAAAUGUUGAAUCGACAUAUAAAGAAUGUUCAACAUUUUGAGAAAACUAAUACAACAUUUUUUUAGAAAAAUUUGUUAGAGUGAAUCAACAUUUUUUAAAGAAGUUGGAAUAGUACAAUAUAAAUGUUGAAACGAUAUAUAAAAAUGUUGAAAUAUUAAAAUAAACAAUUAAAAUAGUAUAUUGGAUCUUGUUGCAUUAAUUCUAACAAACAUUAUGAUUCAAAUGGAUUUAAAAUCAAAUGUAAUGAGAGUGAAAUUUGUUUAGCCUCCCACCCACCUCCCAGGUCACGACACGUGUCCCUGAAAAGCUGGUGCUAUGUGUUGACCCGUGCUUGCUUCGCCUGUGUAGUGGACGCUCUUCGCAUGUGAGCUUUCUUCCGGUAUAAUCUCGACAGACUAGACUUUGCACACAUCUCAAACAGUGGAAGAUUAGUUGAUAAAAAUCUUCCAGAAGAUAGAUACGAAUCCCGUACUUGUUGCUAUUACUUCACAAUGAGGAGGACGUGGCUAGGGAUGGUAAAGGGUCAUCUAGUUUAGCCUAGCAAAUUUAAGUAUGGAAUUCAAUAAGGAUCAAACUAUAAUAUUAUACGAUUUUAAAUUAAAAAUAGAUGGAGCUAAGUUGGAUUGUGAAAAAGAAACAAGUGUCGUUAUCCGUUACCACCUUGGACGUGGCAUGUUCUUGUCAUGGGCCUCGGCAAGGUUGAAAAUGGCCGCGUUUACUGAUUUGUGCGGCGACCAGCCCCAAGUUGCCGAGGUUGUCCACCGGACCUUUUAAGCCCGGUGCUGCACCUCGUUGUUCCAAACUUUCGAAAACUUCAAACGGAUGAAUAGAGACUGCAAACCAAAGCUUUUUCUUUCUCCAGCUUGUCUGGGGCAUUAGAACGUUGUCAGGAGGGCUGCGGCCACGGACGCCGCCGUUGGCUCGGCCGCAAGGCCCUGGGGCGCCGCCCCAGCCAACGCAUGUUGCCGCGGGCUGCUCGCGGCUAGGUGGGGGUCCUGACUCCUGCGAUUCUAUUUGGCCAGUCGCCGCCGGCGGGGAAUGGGUGACCGUCGGCCCUAUGCGCGACAGCGGGAGGAGAACAGGCAGGCGGCAGGAGGGGAAUGAGCUGGAAAAGAAUUGGCGGCACCAGAACUGUCGUUUUUGGAUGGGCUGAAUUCUCUCUUUGGGGAGAGUUGAGCUAGGAUAUUGGGAUGAACCAAAAAAUAUUGGGAAAAGAGACAUGUUUUGAGAGACUGUUGGAGCUCUUUUCUUCCCAAUGCUGGUAAUUGUUUUUUUGGAAAAGGGAGACCGGUGUGGCUGCUUAGAUCUUAAAUAUAAUCUUUACCUUAUGUAUAUUGACAAGGCUGUUUGCAUACAUGUAUACUGUGGAGUUUCACCAGGAGGGGGGGGAUGGCCCCUCCAGGCACCCCUACCUCUGUCCCUGUAGGUCACCCACUGCCGCAGAUAUCACAAUGAUCAAUUGUAUAUGUACCACUAGCCCACUACAAAGAGCGCGGUGAUGAUUCAAAUUCAGCGGUGUGGUAUACGUACCAUUGAGAUUACAGAGAGGAGAUACGCCCUUAUACAUAAACGUAGAUGGGAUUAUAGAGGGCAGGAGCAGUAGCGCACAAAGAUCAAAGCCACACAGCUAUAGCGGUGUAGCCCAAAGGUAAAGGGAAGCGACUUGGCUUUUGUUGUAUUCCUGAAUUUUUCUUAAUGGAACCGACACACGGCCGAAGAAGACGGCGCCGGUGAACAGCCACGGGUGCUGCGCCUCUUCCAGCCACUCGAUUUGGCUGUUGAUGUCACGGCGGAUCCCCCUCGAAGACCUAAGUAAUUUGUUUAGAGGAAGGGCCAUUUUAAUUUGGAAGGAAGAAAUACAGGAACAAGAGGAAUUGCAUUCCACUUUUACGUAGUCUCUCUCAUCGCCGCUCAUUACCCGGUGGGCCGCGACCCGUUCGUGUCAUGGGCCUCUCUAGCCCGCGUUUACCGCUGAUUUGUGCGGCUACCAGCCCAGCUGCCGAGCUACCUUUUUGGCCCGGUGUUGCACCUCGUUCUUCCAAACAUCCUCGAUCAACAAACAAAUCCUAAUAGGAAUUUUUUUAAUAAUAACGAUAUAUAAAUCGAAACGGGUGCAUUAAUACGGUAAAGCAAGCUUAAUUUCUUGUUCUCCACCAGCUUAUCUAGAACGGCAAAAAAAAA